AUUGAACGCUGGCGGCGUGCUUAACACAUGCAAGUCGAUCGGUAACAGGUGUAGCAAUACAUGCUGACGAGAGGCGGACGGGUGAGUAAUGCUUGGGAAUCUGCCUAUUAGUGGGGGACAACCCGGGGAAACUCGGGCUAAUACCGCAUACGCUCUACGGAGGAAAGCCGGGGACCGCAAGGCCUGGCGCUAAUAGAUGAGCCCAAGUCGGAUUAGCUAGUUGGUAGGGUAACGGCCUACCAAGGCGACAAUCCGUAGCUGGUCUGAGAGGACGACCAGCCACACCGGAACUGAGACACGGUCCGGACUCCUACGGGAGGCAGCAGUGGGGAAUAUUGGACAAUGGGGGCAACCCUGAUCCAGCGACGCCGCGUGGGUGAAGAAGGCCUGCGGGUUGUAAAGCCCGUUUCGGUGGGGAAGAAAGUCUCGACCUAAUACGUCGGGACCUUGACGUAACCCACUAAAGAAGCACCGGCUAACUCU
rnacentral:rRNA from 1 species